rnacentral:rRNA from 1 species
AUGAACGCUGGCGGCGUGCCUAAUACAUGCAAGUCGAGCGCACAGACGAGGAGCUUGCUCCUCUGACGUUAGCGGCGGACGGGUGAGUAACACGUGGAUAACCUACCUAUAAGACUGGGAUAACUUCGGGAAACCGGAGCUAAUACCGGAUAAUAUAUUGAACCGCAUGGCUCAAUAGUGAAAGACGGUUUUGCUGUCACUUAUAGAUGGAUCCGCGCCGCAUUAGCUAGUUGGUAAGGUAACGGCUUACCAAGGCAACGAUGCGUAGCCGACCUGAGAGGGUGAUCGGCCACACUGGAACUGAGACACGGUCCAGACUCCUACGGGAGGCAGCAGUAGGGAAUCUUCCGCAAUGGGCGAAAGCCUGACGGAGCAACGCCGCGUGAGUGAUGAAGGUCUUCGGAUCGUAAAACUCUGUUAUUAGGGAAGAACAAAUGUGUAAGUAACUAUGCACGUCUUGACGGUACCUAAUCAGAAAGCCACGGCUAACUACGUG